AGUGAACGCUGGCGGUAGGCCUAACACAUGCAAGUCGAACGGCAGCACAGUAAGAGCUUGCUCUUACGGGUGGCGAGUGGCGGACGGGUGAGGAAUACAUCGGAAUCUACUUUUUCGUGGGGGAUAACGUAGGGAAACUUACGCUAAUACCGCAUACGACCUACGGGUGAAAGCAGGGGAUCUUCGGACCUUGCGCGAUUGAAUGAGCCGAUGUCGGAUUAGCUAGUUGGCGGGGUAAAGGCCCACCAAGGCGACGAUCCGUAGCUGGUCUGAGAGGAUGAUCGGCGACACUGGAACUGGGACACGGUCCAGACUCCUACGGGAGGCAGCAGUGGGGAAUAUUGGACAAUGGGCGCAAGCCUGAUCCAGCCAUACCGCGUGGGUGAAGAAGGCCUUCGGGUUGUAAAGCCCUUUUGUUGGGAAAGAAAAGCAGCAGGUUAAUACCCCGCUGUUCUGACGGUACCCAAAGAAUAAGCACCGGCUAACUUCGUG
rnacentral:rRNA from 1 species